CACAGGCAAUAGGCACGGCAAUACAGUUAGUAAGACAUAGAUUUUAUCCUGUCGAGACGGCCCGUUAGCGUCAUUUAAGAAGUUCGUACCCGCACGGUAUUUACAAUACCAUUAUUUCCAAUGACGUAAAUCACAACUUACGUAUAAAAUUUUUAUAUGAGAAUAGUUAACUAUUUGUGUUCUGCCUGGUACCAAGAAAACAUAUCAGUAGAAAAAGAGAAGGAUUUCGUGGAACUGAAUUAUCAGAUGAUGAGCGUGGAUUGAUUAAUGGCAUUGAAGUUGUCCAAAUUGUUUUUCUUUAAAUAGACAUAGAAACACAAUAACAAGUUUUUUAAAAAUGCAGAUGGUGUUAUUAAAGGCCUAAGCCAUAUUACAUUUUAUGAUAAAUAUAAAUUCAUGUUAUGGUCAGCAUUUUCAUCAAAAGAAACGCCCGAAAUAUGCUUAGUAACUGAAUAAAUAUAUAGCCACUGUUUGCACCUAUUAAAAAUUC